rnacentral:rRNA from 1 species
UACGUAGGAGACGAGCGUUGUCCGGAGUUACUGGGCGUAAAGGGUGCGCAGGUGGCGGCGCGCGUGGGGGGUGAAAUCGCCCGGCUUAACUGGGCGGGGGCCUUCCAGACGGCGUGGCUUGAGCAGCGGAGGGGGACGUGGAAUUCCGGGUGGAGCGGUGAAAUGCGUAGAGAUCCGGAGGAAGACCGGUGGCGAAGGCGGCCUGCUGGGCAGUUACUGACACUGAUGCGCGACAGCGUGGGGAGCAAACAGG